AGCGAACGCUGGCGGCAGGCUUAACACAUGCAAGUCGAACGGGCGUAGCAAUACGUCAGUGGCAGACGGGUGAGUAACGCGUGGGAACGUGCCUUUUGGUUCGGAACAACUGAGGGAAACUUCAGCUAAUACCGGAUAAGCCCUUACGGGAAAGAUUUAUCGCCAAAAGAUCGGCCCGCGUCUGAUUAGCUAGUUGGUGAGGUAAUGGCUCACCAAGGCGACGAUCAGUAGCGGUCUGAGAGGA
rnacentral:rRNA from 1 species